GGAGCUCUCCCAUAUGGUCGACCUGCAGGCGGCCGCGAAUUCACUAGUGAUUGUUUGAUCCUGGCUCAGGAUGAACGCUAGCGACAGGCCUAACACAUGCAAGUCGAGGGGUAUAAGUAGCUUGCUACUUAGAGACCGGCGCACGGGUGAGUAACGCGUAUGCAACCUACCUUUUACUGGGGGAUAGCCCAAAGAAAUUUGGAUUAAUACCGCAUAACAUAUUUGAAUCGCAUGGUUUAAAUAUUAAAACUUCGGUGGUAAAAGAUGGGCAUGCGUAGCAUUAGUUAGUUGGUGAGGUAACGGCUCACCAAGACUAUGAUGCUUAGGGGGUCUGAGAGGAUAGUCCCCCACACUGGUACUGAGACACGGACCAGACUCCUACGGGAGGCAGCAGUGAGGAAUAUUGGUCAAUGGGCGCAAGCCUGAACCAGCCAUGUCGCGUGCAGGAUGACGGCCCUAUGGGUUGUAAACUGCUUUUUUACAGGAAUAAACUUUGUUACGUGUAGCAAACUGAAGGUACUGUAAGAAUAAGGAUCGGCUAACUCCGUGCCAGCAGCCGCGGUAAUACGGAGGAUCCAAGCGUUAUCCGGAUUUAUUGGGUUUAAAGGGUCCGUAGGCGGGCUUUUAAGUCAGUGGUGAAAUCCCAGAGCUCAACUCUGGAACUGCCAUUGAUACUGAAGGUCUUGAAUUUAGUUGAGGUGGGCGGAAUACGUUAUGUAGCGGUGAAAUGCAUAGAUAUAACGUAGAACACCGAUUGCGAAGGCAGCUCACUAAGCUAACAUUGACGCUGAUGGACGAAAGCGUGGGGAGCGAACAGGAUUAGAUACCCUGGUAGUCCACGCCGUAAACGAUGAUUACUCGUUGUGCACGAUACACUGUGCGUGACUGAGCGAAAGCAUUAAGUAAUCCACCUGGGGGAGUA
rnacentral:rRNA from 1 species